GUGAAGGAGCUCAAUGAUUUACUACAGGAUCCUAACUGUCAACUGAAGACACUGAGGUUUUUGGGUUCUGCUGCAGAAGAAGCCUGUCAGUAUGUGACUGAAAUUCUGGGCAAAACCCCGUUACUCCUGAGAGAACUGAAUCUGAGUGAACGUUGAACUAGGAGACAUACGAGUGAAUCAGAUCGCUGCUCUCUACUGCAGGAUAAACACUGUAAACCUCAACACACUAAUUCUGAAUAACAGCGAUAUCACAGAAGAAGGAUGUCAUGUUCUGGCUGCAGCUUUUAAAUCAAACCCUUCUAAUCUGACAGAACUGCAUCUGAGUGGAACUAAACUCAGAAAACUCAGGAAUGAAGAUCUUCUCGACUCUGUUUAAAGAAUGAACAGUGUAGACUGAAAAAAAUGAAGUAAUUUAGUCAAUUUUGUAAACAGGCAAACUUUUUAAAUUUAUUAUAUUACAUUACGUUUAGCUUUUUUUCUCUUUUACAGGGUUAAGAUCCAACAGCAUACUGCAGAGGUUGUGCUGUACUGGUAUCAGCAUUCAAUUCAAAUCCUUCAAACCUGAUAGAGCUGGAUCUGAGUGGAAAUAAACUAGAAAACUCUGGAGUGACUGGAAAUCUCCAGUCUACUGAGAAAUUUACAAUGUUCACUGCAGAUACUAAGACUUUCAGACUGCAGUAUCACUGAAGAAGGUAUAUAAACUCUGGCUUCAGCUCUGAGA